rnacentral:rRNA from 1 species
UACGGGGGGUGCGAGCGUUGUCCGGAAUCACUGGGCGUAAAGGGCGCGUAGGUGGUUUGAUAAGGGUGUGGUGAAAGUCCGGGGCUCAACCCCGGAUCUGCCGUGCCGACUGUCAAACUCGAGGGCUGUAGAGGCAGACGGAAUUCCGGGUGUAGCGGUGGAAUGCGUAGAGAUCCGGAGGAAGACCGGUGGCGAAGGCAGAUCUCUGGGCCGUAACUGACGCUGAGGAGCGAAAGCGUGGGGAGCGAACAGG